rnacentral:rRNA from 1 species
ACGUACAAGCAGUGGGAGCACAGGUUUACCUGUGUGACUGCGUACCUUUUGUAUAAUGGGUCAGCGACUUAUAUUCUGUAGCAAGGUUAACCGAAUAGGGGAGCCGGAGGGAAACCGAGUCUUAAUUGGGCGUUAAGUUGCAGGGUAUAGACCCGAAACCCGGUGAUCUAGCCAUGGGCAGGUUGAAGGUUGGGUAACACUAACUGGAGGACCGAACCGACUAAUGUUGAAAAAUUAGCGGAUGACCUGUGGCUGGGGGUGAAAGGCCAAUCAAACCGGGAGAUAGCUGGUUCUCCCCGAAAGCUAUUUAGGUAGCGCCUCGUGAAUUCAUCUCCGGGGGUAGAGCACUGUUUCGGCUAGGGGGCCAUCCCGGCUUACCAACCCGAUGCAAACUGCGAAUACCGGAGAAUGUUAUCACGGGAGACACACGGCGGGUGCUAACGUCCGUCGUGAAGAGGGAAACAACCCAGACCGCCAGCUAAGGUCCCAAAGUCAUGGUUAAGUGGGAAACGAUGUGGGAAGGCCCAGACAGCCAGGAUGUUGGCUUAGAAGCAGCCAUCAUUUAAAGAAAGCGUAAUAGCUCACUGGUCGAGUCGGCCUGCGCGGAAGAUGUAACGGGGCUAAACCAUGCACCGAAGCUGCGGCAGCGACACUGUGUGUUGUUGGGUAGGGGAGCGUUCUGUAAGCCUGUGAAGGUGUGUCGUGAGGCAUGCUGGAGGUAUCAGAAGUGCGAAUGCUGACAUAAGUAACGAUAAAGCGGGUGAAAAGCCCGCUCGCCGGAAGACCAAGGGUUCCUGUCCAACGUUAAUCGGGGCAGGGUGAGUCGACCCCUAAGGCGAGGCCGAAAGGCGUAGUCGAUGGGAAACGGGUUAAUAUUCCCGUACUUGGUGUUACUGCGAAGGGGGGACGGAGAAGGCUAUGUUGGCCGGGCGACGGUUGUCCCGGUUUAAGCGUGUAGGUGUGUGUUCCAGGUAAAUCCGGUUCACUUUAACACUGAGGCGUGACGACGAGGCACUACGGUGCUGAAGCAACAAAUGCCCUGCUUCCAGGAAAAGCCUCUAAGCAUCAGGUAACAUCAAAUCGUACCCCAAACCGACACAGGUGGUCAGGUAGAGAAUACCAAGGCGCUUGAGAGAACUCGGGUGAAGGAACUAGGCAAAAUGGUGCCGUAACUUCGGGAGAAGGCACGCUGACACGUAGGUGAAGUGAUUUACUCAUGGAGCUGAAGUCAGUCGAAGAUACCAGCUGGCUGCAACUGUUUAUUAAAAACACAGCACUGUGCAAACACGAAAGUGGACGUAUACGGUGUGACGCCUGCCCGGUGCCGGAAGGUUAAUUGAUGGGGUCAGCGCAAGCGAAGCUCCUGAUCGAAGCCCCGGUAAACGGCGGCCGUAACUAUAACGGUCCUAAGGUAGCGAAAUUCCUUGUCGGGUAAGUUCCGACCUGCACGAAUGGCGUAAUGAUGGCCAGGCUGUCUCCACCCGAGACUCAGUGAAAUUGAACUCGCUGUGAAGAUGCAGUGUACCCGCGGCAAGACGGAAAGACCCCGUGAACCUUUACUAUAGCUUGACACUGAACAUUGAGCCUUGAUGUGUAGGAUAGGUGGGAGGCUUUGAAGUGUGGACGCCAGUCUGCAUGGAGCCGACCUUGAAAUACCACCCUUUAAUGUUUGAUGUUCUAACGUGGACCCGUUACCCGGGUUGCGGACAGUGUCUGGUGGGUAGUUUGACUGGGGCGGUCUCCUCCUAAAGAGUAACGGAGGAGCACGAAGGUUGGCUAAUCCUGGUCGGACAUCAGGAGGUUAGUGCAAUGGCAUAAGCCAGCUUGACUGCGAGCGUGACGGCGCGAGCAGGUGCGAAAGCAGGUCAUAGUGAUCCGGUGGUUCUGAAUGGAAGGGCCAUCGCUCAACGGAUAAAAGGUACUCCGGGGAUAACAGGCUGAUACCGCCCAAGAGUUCAUAUCGACGGCGGUGUUUGGCACCUCGAUGUCGGCUCAUCACAUCCUGGGGCUGAAGUAGGUCCCAAGGGUAUGGCUGUUCGCCAUUUAAAGUGGUACGCGAGCUGGGUUUAGAACGUCGUGAGACAGUUCGGUCCCUAUCUGCCGUGGGCGCUGGAGAACUGAGGGGGGCUGCUCCUAGUACGAGAGGACCGGAGUGGACGCAUCACUGGUGUUCGGGUUGUCAUGCCAAUGGCACUGCCCGGUAGCUAAAUGCGGAAGAGAUAAGUGCUGAAAGCAUCUAAGCACGAAACUUGCCCCGAGAUGAGUUCUCCCUGAGACUUAGAGUCUCCUGAAGGAACGUUGAAGACGACGACGUUGAUAGGCCGGGUGUGUAAGCGCAGCGAUGCGUUGAGCUAACCGGUACUAAUGAACCGUGAGGCUUAACCUUACAACGCCGAAG